rnacentral:misc_RNA from 1 species
UUAAGUUCCGCGGGUAUCCCUACCUGAUCCGGGGUCAAUUAUUGAAGUAAUCGGGGUUACUUGGCCAGCCGCGAGCGAACUUUCAAAGCGGGAUAAAUUUUACUACGCUUAAAGUCGCUCCGGACCGCCACUAAUUUUCGGGCACGCCCCGGGAGGCGAGGACCCAAUACCAAGCUGAGCUUGAGGGGUGUAAUGACGCU